CCGGAAGUGCUUUUCUAGGGUUCGGGCCGUAGAGAGGCCUUGUAGGCACAGCCGCUGAGGCUUGGUCGGCUCUGAGGAGGGGCUCCUAUCCGUGUGGGAGCCCAGGGUUUAGCGCCGGUCGACCCGCGCCUUGGCCCCUCUCACCUCCCGGGCCGACGGUAUUUUGAGUAAUCUGGAGUAUGCCCGAGGACAUACAUGCUGCUGCUGCUGCUAAGUCGCUUCAGUCGUGUCCGACUCCGUGCAACCCCGUAGAUGGCAGCCCACCAGGCUCCGCCGUCCCUGGGAUUCUCCAGGCAAGAACACUGAAGUGGGUUGCCAUUUCCUUCUCCAAUGCAGGAAAGUGAAAAGUGAAAGUGAAGUUGCUCAGUCGUGUCUGACUCUUAGCGACCCCAUGGACUGCAGCCCACCAGGCUCCUCCGUCCAUGGGAUUUUCCAGGCAAGAGUACUGGAGUGGGGUGCCAUAUGCAAAUACUACACUGUCUUGUAGAAGGGACUUGAACUUUGGCGGGUAUCCUCUGAGGUCUUGGAACCAUUCAUGUCCCUUUGGAAAACUGAGGGAUGACUGUUUUUGUUGUUUCAUGAGAGCUAGUUUUGACAUGGCUUUUUUUUUUUUUUUCACCCUUGGUGUACUGCACUUUUGUUUUGAUAUGUCUGAAAGAUGGUUUCUUCUGUUUAUCAUGUUUGGUGUUCAGUAGGCUUUGGAAUCUAAAGAUUGAUGUCAGUUCUGGAGAACUGUUGGCUAUUUUCUCCUCAAAUUUUAUCUUCUUUAUUUCAUGUCUGAAACUUGUGUUUUGAAGUAUGUUAGAUCUUUUUACUCUACCCAUUGGGCCUUUUAAUUGGUCUUUUAUAUUUUCUAUUUCUGUGUCUGUUUGUAUUGUGUUCUCAAUAAUUAGUGCCUUUUCUUCCAGUUAGCUAAUUCUCACCUCAGUUUUGUUCACCUGUUUCAUUGAGUUUUUUUCACUUUAUUUUAUCAAUUAUAUCUUUUUAAAAAACUGUGGUAAAAUACACAUAAAUAGAAUUUACCAUUUUAGCCAUUUUAAAGCAUAUGGGUCAUGACAUUGAGUAUAUUCCCCUUAUUGUGUGACUAUCACCCCUGUCCAUCUCCAGGACUUUUUUCAUCAUCAUAAAAUUUUGUACCCAUUCAACAGUAAGCCCUUGUUCCCUCUUCACUGAGCCCCUGGCAACAGCUACUUUCCUUCUGUGCAUUUAUUCUGUAUGGUCAUAUAAGUGGAUCAUACAGUGUUUGUCAUUUGUCUAGUUUAUUUCACUCAGCAUAAUGUCUUCAUCUGUGUUGUACCAUGUUUAUUGAGUUUUUGAAAAUUUCAUUUACUCUAUUUUUUGGUCAUUUCUAGAAGUUGUAUUCAGUUCCUUUUAAAGAUUAUCCUUUUUUUAAAAAAUAGUUUUUCCGUUUUUAGUCAUAUUCCCAAGGUACUUUAUUUCUUAAAAAUCUAUUUAAUAUGCUUUUUUUAAUUGAGUGUGAUAAUUACAGUAUUUGAAGUCUGCAGAUGUGAGUCUGUUGUUUUGCUUGCUCUUGCUCGUAGUGCUGUGCUUUCCUAAAUCAUUUUGUGUUCUGACUGUGAAGUUCCUUAGAACGUUCUCUGUAUUAAUUUUGUACAGUGAGUUUUAAAAAGUAGGAUUAAUAUUAUAGCUUAGAGCUUAUAAGUAAGCACCUGGAGAUUAGUAUCCUGUGUUUUUAAACUUUUUAAUUUGAAAUGAUUUCUAACUUACAGUAAAGUUGCAAGAAUGAUAUAGUAGACUCAUAUAUCCUUUACCCAUGUUUAUCAACUUUUAAACAUUUUGCCAUAUUUGAUUUAUGGCACAAACACACAUUAUUAUUUGUUUUUGUGACCACUGAAGAGUUUGUUGCAUACCUUUUUACUUUUUAAUAGCUCAGGAUGUAUUUCCUAAGAAUAAGGAUAUUCUUUUAGGUAAUCACAGUACCAUUAUCAAAUUCCAAGAAUUUAACAUUGGUAAAUACUUUAGUCUCCAUAUGCUUUAAAUUCCAGUCCUGUAGAUUUGAUCAUAUCUUGUAUUUAGUUGUCAUUUCUUUUUAGUCUCCUGUGUGGAUCACAAUAAACUGUGGAAAAUUCUGAAAGAGAUGGGAAUACCAGAUCGCCUGACCUGCCUCUUGAGAAACCUAUAUGCAGGUCAGGAAGCAACAGUUAGAACUGGACAUGGAACAACAGACUGGUUCCAAGUAGGAAAAGGAGUACGUCAAGGCUGUAUAUUGUCACCCUGCUUAUUUAACUUAUAUGCAGAGUACAUCAUGAGAAACGCUGGGCUGGAGGAAGAACAAGCUGGAAUCAAGAUUGCCGGGAGAAGUAUCAAUAACCUCAGAUAUGCAGAUGACACCACCCUUAUGGCAGAAAGUGAAGAGGAACUAAAACACCUCUUGAUGAAAGUGAAAGAGGAGAGUGAAAGAGCUGGCUUAAAGCUCAACAUUCAGAAAAUGAAGAUCAUGGCAUCUGGUCCCAUCACUUCAUGGGAAAUAGAUGGGGUAACAGUGGAAACAGUGUCAGACUUUAUUUUGGGGGCUCCAAAAUCACUGCAGAUGGUGACUGCAGCCAUGAAAUUAAAAGACGCUUACUCCUUGGAAGAAAAAUUAUGACCAACCUAGAUGCAUAUUGAAAAGCAGAGACAUUACUUUGCCAACAAAGGUCCAUCUAGUCAAGGCUAUGGUUUUUCCUGUGGUCAUGUAUGGAUGUGAAUUGGAGUAUAAAGAACGCUGAGUGCUGAAGAAUUGAUGCUUUUGAACUGUGGUGUUGGAGAAGACUCUUGAGAGUCCCUUGGACUGCAAGGAGAUCCAACCAGUCCAUUCUGAAGGAGAUCAGGCCUGGAUUUCUUUGGAAGGAAUGAUGCUAAAGCUGAAACUCCAAUAUUUUGUCCACCUCAUGCGAAGAGUUGACUCAUUGGAAAAGACUCUGAUGCUGGGAGGGAUUGGGGGCAGGAGGAGAAGGGGCCAACAGAGGAUGAGAUGGCUGGAUGGCAUCACUGACUUGAUGGACGUGAGCCUGAGUGAACUCCGGGAGCUGGUGAUGGACAGGGAGGCCUGGCGUGCUACGAUUCAUGGGGUUGCAAAGAGUCGGACACGACUGAACGACUGAACUGAACUGAACUGAAGUGAAAAUGAGCUUGUCUUUGUCUUUUAUGUAAUUAAAGAAUACAGAUAAAUUGUUUUAUAGAAAAAUGUUCAACUUUGAUUUGUCUGAUAGUUUCAGGUUAUUUAUUUAUCAUCAGUCAGACUACUACCAAAGGUAUGUGCCCCUCUCACAAUAUUACAUCUGGAUAUACAUUAUGUCUGUUUGCCCCUCAUUAGUGAUUUUACUUUUGGUCAGAGUGUUGAGUGGUUUAUUCACUGUAUAGUUACUGGUUUUCUCCUUAUAUUUAAUAAGCAAUCUGCAGGGAGGUCCUAGUGUUUUGUUCUUCAUGAAAAGAUAAGUACAGUGGGACUUCCCUGGCAACCCUGUGCAGUGCAGGGGGUGUGGGUUCGAUCCCUGGUUAGGGAGCUAGAUCUCACAUGCCUUGAGGCCAAAACAUAAAACAGAAGCAAUCUUGUAACAAAUUCAAUAAAGAUUUAAAAAGUGGUCCUCACCAAAAUAAAAAAAAGAUAAGUACAGUAAUAAUAUAUAUUUCAUUUGUAUGAAAGAUUUCUAGUGUGCCAGGCAUUUUUAUACAUACCUUGUUUUAGUGCUCUUUUAAAAAAUUUGCUUUUAUUGUACUUCGCUCUAUUACAUUUUUUACAAAUCAAAGGUUUGUGGCAACCCUGUGUUGAGCAAGUCUGUUGGUACUAUUCUUCCCAUAGCAUUUGCUAGCUUCAUGUCUUUUUUGUUACAUUUUGGUAAUUCUCACAAUAUUUCAGACUUUUUCAUUCUUAUUAUUAUAUUUGUUAUGGUGAUGUGUAAUCAGUGAUCUCUGAUAUUAACUGCUAUGACUUGCUGAAGGCUCAGUUGAUAGCAUUUUUUAGCAAUGAAGUUUUUAAGACAACUUUUUAUUGAAAUAUAGUUGAUUUAAAGUAUUUUUAAGUUAAGGUAUGCACAUUUCUUUUAGAUAUGCUGUUGUACACUUAAUAGACUACAGGAUCACAUAAACAUAACUUUUAUAUGCACUGGGCAAUGAAAAAAAUUUGUGUGACUCGUUUUAUUGUGAUACUCACUUUAUUGUUGUGGUCUGGAACUGAACUUGCAGUAUCUCUUAGGUACGCCUGUAUUUUAUGACCUUAUUUUAAUCUUUAUGGCAGUAGUACAUAUUUUAUAGUUCUGGAAACUAAGACUGGAAAACAUAGCUAAUAAGAGGCAGCAUUGGAAUUCAAACCCUUAAAGUUUUCUUAAGACUGUUUUUUAAACUAGCCACAGUUGCCCUCUAAGUUGGAAGAUCCACUGUUAACUUAGGGCAUGGUCUGUGUCUUGUCUCCUGUGUUGUCAGUGCCUGGAACGGUUGAGUGAAUAAGUAACGCACAGACAGGAGUUGCUAUCUGACAUGAGGGUCUUACAUGUUAAAAGUUCUAAUGUAAUUAUAUUUGUUCACAUUUUAUACUUACAUAUAUAAAUGUAGGCAUACGGAUAAUGUGUAUGUAUGUUGUUGCUCAGUCACUAAGCUGUGUCUGACUCUUCGUGGCCCCAUGGACUGCAGCACAUCAGGGUCCUCUGUCUCCCACUGUUUCCCAGAGUUUGCUCAAAUUCAUGUCCAUUGAGUCAGUGAUGCUAUUUAACCAUCUAUCCCCUGGCACCCCCUUCUCCUGUAAGUACAUAAUAAUAUAUAUGUAGCUGCUUAAAGUUUGUCUGGAAGGUUUUUCUGAAGCUCUGCAUAACUCUAGGUAAGAUUUUUUUUUUUUUUUAGAUUAAAAAGUAAAUGGAUUUGCCUUUAAUGAAGAAAAUUUGGAGAUUUCUUUUUCUUGGCUGUGCCGCAUGGCUUGUGGGAUCUUAGUUCCCUGACUAGGGAUUGAACACUGGCCGUCAGCAAUGAGAAUGUGGAGUCCUAACCAUUUGGACUGCUAGGAAAUUCCCCCACAUUUGGCCUUCUUGAAGGCAUUAGGUGAUAAAGAUAAGUGAGGCAGAUUUUCUGGUAUCAGUUCAAUUCUUUUUUUUUUUAAGCAAAUCUUUAAGAUUGGGGUGAUUGGAGGAAUGUAGUGUAUUACUAGAAUGUAAUCUCUUGACCUGGUUAAUUGGUGGAUGCUGGGCCCUAACAAGAUUCACCUUUUCUCCUGUUUUACCUCUGACUUUCCACCUUCUGUUCUUGGUUGAAGCCGGAGGGACUUGGGCAUAGGACACAAGUUCCCCCUUGGCUUCAAUUAUUGGGACCCUACUAGGUAUCAAGAACCAUGCUGGAUAUUGAGGUUAAAAUGGUGAAUCUAGAUAGAUGUAGUUGUUGUCAUGGAGCACAAUUCAGAGGUGAUGAACUAUUAUAUCCCUUUGUUUGUGUUAGUCAUUUAUAUAUUUAAAUCGAAUAUUUCUAAGAAAAUCUUACUUAUGUCGGCUGAAAUUUUCCUGGCCAGAGAAAAAAUUCUUGAGACCCUUAAUGGAUUGUGUAAGUAUAGAAUUUGAGACUGAAAACUACUCAGUAAGUGUGUUCUGAAAACUGAUUUUAAUUUCAAUUGAAGUCUUUUAUUAAAGCCUAACCUAAGUAAAUUACAGAUGCUAUAAAGACUGCCUCCUAUGGGGUUUUAUGAAUAGUUACUAGAAGUAGUGUCUUGGAAGUUAUAUGUAUUACAUAGUUCUUUGACAUUCCCUUGUCUCCCCCUCACUCAAAAAACUUUAAUGUUACACAAGCAAAUGCAUGUAUUUUUUUUUAAACUCUUAUUUUGAGGUAGAGCCUUACAGAAAGUUGCAGAAAUAGUAGGGCCCUGAAUAGUACUUUUCACUCAGUUUCCCCAAUAUUGACAUCUUAGAUAAUUGUCAUACAAUAGGAAUAUGAGGAAAUUGAUAUUGAGACAUUACUGUUAACUAGAGUUUCCCAUAUGUAAUGUUAACAUUACUGAUAACAGAAUUUCCCUGAUGGCUCAGGAGGUAAAGAAUCCACCUGUAAUGCAAGGGACACAGAAGACAUGGGUUUGAUCCUUGGGUUGGGAAUAUCCCCUGAAGAAGGAAAUGGCAACCACUCCAGUAUUCUUAGCUGGAGAAUCCCACGGACAGAGGAGCCUGGUGGGCUACAAACGGUCCAGUGGGUUGCAAAGAGUCAGAUGUGACUGAGCAACUAAGCAUAAGUACUGUUAACUAGAACACAGGCCAUGUACUGAUACUAUCUUCUUUGUGUGUGUGUCGUUCUGUACAGUUCUUGCCCAUCUAUAUAUUUAACCACUACUGCAGUCACAAUACAGAACUGUUCCAUCACCACAGAACUCCCUAGUGCGACCUCUUUCUUUGUGUUCACAGCCCAUCCCCUCAUCCCUUGCUUUGUCAUUUUGAGAAUGUUGUAUGAGUGAAAGUAUAGUGUGUAACCUUUUGAGAUGCAUGCUUUAAAAAUAUAAUUUGUUUUAAUUCUCAAUGUAAAAUAAACUUUUCUAAAAGGUGAUUUGGUGGUAGGAAAAACAGAUUUUGAAUCUACCACCCUACUACAGUCAUCAUUCUGCUUUUUUUAAUACCCCAUUUUAUAUGAUGUUUUAUAUCAUAUUUAUAGUGUAUGCUCAAUUUUGUUUGCUUUUUAAACAUUUUUUGGCUGCGCUGUGUAGCAUGUGGUAUAUUAGUUCCCAGGAACGAAUCCAUGCCCUGUGCAGUGGAAACGUGAAGUCUUCACCACAGGAUUGCCAGAGAAUUCCCUUGUAUGAUUUUUUUAAACUUAACAUUAUUUCUGUGCAGUCAUCAUAUAUAAUUUUUGCUGUUAUAAGGAAUAUUGCAGAAAACACUUAAAAGCAUGUAUUUUUCUUCAUAUUUUUAGUCAUUUUCUUAGAGCAGAUUCCCAAAUAUGUGAUAUGGAGCCCAGGAUAUGAGGGUUUAUUAAUCCUGAGAAUUUGGUCAGAUUGCGUUUCAAAAGAUGGAGGAGCCUGGUGGGCUGCAGUCAGUGGGGUCGCUAAGAGUCAGACACGACUGAGCGACUUCACUUUUACUUUUCACUUUCAUGCAUUGGAGAAGGAAAUGGCAACCCACUCCAGUGUUCUUGCCUGGAGAAUCCCAGGGAUGGGGGAGCCUGGUGGGCUUCCGUUUAUGGGGUCACACAGAGUCGGACACGACUGAAGUGACUUAGCAGUGCAGCUUUUCAAAAGGGUGGUAUUACUAGUACUGUUUCACUGUAUCUUUGUUAGAUUGGAUACUAGGGUUAACUUUUACCCCCUAACUUAAGGUGAAAAAGGUACUUCUUUGUUCUAAUUUUAGAGUGCAUUUCUUUAUGUAACAGUUUUUCUAUGAAGAGUACAAUUGAUUGUAACACCAAAAUGCCGUGACCUUUUAAAAAUGUGAUUUCGGUUUUAAGUAAUUUGGAAAAACUUUUUAGUAUCUGUGCCAGUGUUCAGCAGUUCAGUGCAGGAGGUUGAGUCACCAGUUCCUUCUCUUUACUUUGCCUGUAACCUCUUCGGUUUAUAGGUUUGUUACCUACAGGAUUACCAGUUUCUGCUUUGCUUCCUCUGGCCUCUACCUUGAUCUGGCUAGUUUCCUCAGUCUGAUCUUUGACCUUUCCCUCUGUCUGUGAAGAGUUAAAACUGCCUUUAAAUUCUGUUUUAUUAGAAAGGGAUACUUCAUAGAUAAAUGCCUCAUGGGUAUGGAUUAUUCUAAAAAGACAAUCCAGAACUCGAAUGAAAGAUCCAUCCAUAAAGAAAAACCCUGACCCUAUGCAGAAAAAACUCUUCACAGAGCACUGCUCCCUCCACUGGCACCGCACCAGCACCUCAUUCACUUUACCUGCUUGCUUGUCAGCCUUAGAUGCUGGGUCACGCCGAUACAUUAAUACAUUCCUUGGAUUACCAUAAUAUUAUCCUUACAGUGUAACCCUGGGAGCGUGCAGUCUCAGGACUACUGGACAUCUUCACUUUUUCAGUGGCCACCACAGAAGUUACGUGGUUAAUCAUGUGUGGAGUAUGUAAAAUAUACCCAAAUACAAAAAGAGCAGAAUAAUGAGGAAAUUAUGUACCUUUUACUUUUCUCUUUUGAAAGAAAGCAUUGCUAUAUUCUUUGAAUAGUAGUCAGACUAUCAGAAUACUAAGAAAACCCUUAAAACAGAAGUUUUAAGUAGAAUGUCAUUAAUGCCAACACUUUGCUUUAUUUUAAAGCAGUAUUCCUACAAAUUUUUGAGGUAGCUACAUGUGAAGAUCUCAUAAGAGUUGUUGAGUAGUAGAUUGGACAAGUUCGUUAGCAGGGGAUCAUAAAAAAUGAUAUAUAUUUUUAAUUUUUAACUCGAAUAGACAUUCAUUCACGACUUUUUUCUGCAUAGGGUCAGGGUUUUUCUUUAUGGAUGGAUCUUUCAUUCGAGUUCUGGAUUGUCUUUUUAGAAUAAUCCAUACCCAUGAGGCAUUUAUCUAUGAAGUAUCCCUUUCUAAUAAAACAAUUUAAAGGCAGUUUUAAUGUUUUACAUAAAAUCCUCUACAGUUUUAUGCUUUUUCCACUAUUCUUUUAAAGCUGUUUUUACAUACAUCUAAAUCCAUAAUAACUUCAGAAAAUAAUUAGCCUUUGAAUCUUUUUGAACUUUUCAACAUAAUUUUCAGAGAAACAACCCCUUUCACGCUCAUAAUCCAUCAGUUUACAUAAUCUUAAAUUACAUAAUUACAAUAACAAGUACAGUUGGCUUACGUGAAUUUGGGAACAAACAGCUGGCUCUUGUUAAGCAUCCAGCUCAUUUGGUGAGAAUGGAAGGUUGAGGACACAGUGAGAAAGCGGUUGACUCAGAGGACUACCAGGUGCAAGUAGUCAGCCUGUGAUGAACAUCAGGAAGUGAUUUAUGGAGGAAUUUAAGUUCUUUAUUUCUCUAAGUUGAUAAAGUAGAGGUCUGUUAAAUGAGUUUCUACUGAAUUAUUAUUCUGAUUUCUGUUAUUUUAAAAUAAUUUUUAUUUAUUUUUGGCUGCGCUGGGUCUUCGUUGCUUUGUGUGGUCUUUCUCUAGUUGCGAUGAGCAGGGGCUACUAUUCAUUGUGGUGCACAGGCUUCUCAUUGUAGUGGCUUCUCUUGUUGUGGAGCACAGGUGCUAGGGCACAAAGGCUUCAGUAGUUGUGACACACAGACUCAAUAGUUGUGGCGUACGGGCUUAGUUUUUCUGCAGUAAGUGGGAUUUUCCUGGACCAGGGAUUGAACCCGUGUCCCCAGCAUUAACAGGCGGAUUCUUAACCAUUGUGCCGCCAGGGAAUUCCUUAUUUCUGUUUUAUAGAGGAAAGUGGUGAGGCUUCAGAAAGUUAAGUAAGAUUCCCUAGAUCAGGCAGGUAAUAAGUGAUGGAGCCGUAGGACUAAGGAACAAAUUGGAGUUACGAACACACUCUCAGAAUGGAAGUCAUUCAUAUGGAGGGGACUUACUGUACAGUAAUAGGUUUAUAACACUUUUUCACACAAAUAAUACAUGAAAAAUAAACAUAGAAAAUAAAGAAAACAUUUUAAAUUUUACAGUAUAGUACCUUGAAAAGUACAGUACAACAGUUGGCAUCCAGGGGCCAGCAUUGAGGGAACAGGCAAGGAGGUGCUACUGCACUCUGAACAGUAUUAUACAGGAAAGUACACAAAAGCACAACCACUUGUAGCGGAUGCACACACCUGACCAUGUGUGCCAGAUGCACGAACUAACUUACAUGAUUGGACGUGUGAACACACAUUUGCAUCUUUGAAAGCUCACAACGUGAAGGUCUGUACCUAGGGUACUUACUACGUACUAGGUCUGCAUGAAGCUCAAGUGUAGCAUGUCCUUUUACCUCCUGCGCAGGUGCUCAAUGCUUUUUAGGUCGUCUUGUUUACCCAGUCAUUAAAUAUCCUUGAGUGCUCUUUGGGUAUGUUUGGGGUAGUGUUUUUACAGUUAUUCCACAUCUUGGGCCCUUCUUUCAUUUUUCUCCUUAAUGUUUCUUUUGUACUAACUGAAAAAUGAAGGUGCAUCCCAAGGUGAAAAUUAGGCUUAUAAUUGUUUGUUUUUAUCUUAUAUUGGCUCUAUGUAUGUGAGAACAAGACUAAAGUCUUGCAGUGUUGUAACUGCUGAGGUAACUGUGAAAUAAGAGAAUGUAAAAGGGGAAAAAUGAAGUGGGAGCAGACAUAAAUUUUGCUUUCUUCUGUUAAAUUUCAUUCUUAGUUUGGAAUCUAAACAAUCAUCUUUAUCCCUAUCAUUAUUUCAUGGAGCAUCAGUAGAGCCAUUAGAAUUUAAAGAAAAGGAUAUAUGUACACAUAUACAUAUAUAAUUAGUGUAAAAAGUUAUAUUUCUGACAGUAUGUGAUAGGCUCUUUAAAUCUUAAAAAUAGCAUAAAAAACUUUCAGUUCUACCCUAGGUGUUACUCAACUCAGGAUUGAAAACCAUUGAUAUGAAUUUAAAUGUUCAUUUGUAUAGUUGUUAACUUGUAACUUUCAUAUGAUUAUAACUAAUAUGAUAAGUAGUACUGUUGAGUUGUUUAUUAAGUGCCUUGGACACUCUUUAGCCGUAGUAGUUUACUAGUAAAUACAAAGUAAUACAGAACAAAAAUGAAAAUUGUCAGUUGAUGACAUUCUUUUCCACUUUCUUUGUAAAUGUCAAGAUAUGUAAACUCCACAUAUUAAUUCUAAGGCACUUUUCCCUCCUCCCUUCCUAAGUAUAACUCUGUUUUGUGAUUUUUUUUUUUCUUUUUUGACAUUAGCCUGAAUGUUUGAAUAUGGCAAAGGAAUAUACCGAAUUUUUUGAUAUGCCAGCUAGCAUCUUUCACUUACUGAGAUAAUAUAUUUUAGAGUUGUAGAAGAAUAAUUGGUUAUGACAACAAACCUUUGGGCCACAUUAUCUGAUUUAAAAAUGCAUGUAUUUAUUGGUUGUGCGGUCUUUGUUGCUGCAUGGGUUUUUCUCUGGUUGCAGUAAGCGGGAACUGCUCUCUAGUUGUAGUGUGCAGCCUUCUCUUCUGUUGCAGUGCACAGACUUUUCAUUGUGGUGGCUUCUCUUGUGGAGCAUAGGCUCUAGGGUGCUUCAGUGGUUGCAGCUCAAGGGCUCAGUAGUUGCUAUGCGCAGUCUCUAGAGCACAGGCUCAAUAGUUGUGGCACAUGGGCUUAGUUGCUCUGCUGCAUGUGGGAUCCUCCCAGACCAGGGGUCAAUCCCGUGUCCCCUGCAUCGACAGGUGGACUCUUUACCAAUGAGGUGAAAGUGAAGUCGCCUGGUCGUGUCCAGCUCUCUGCGACCCCAUAGAUUGUAGCCUACCAGGCUUCUCCCUCCAUGGGGUUUUCUAGGCAAGAGUACUAGAGUGGGUUGCCGUUUCCUUUUCCAGGGGAUCUUUGCGCCCCAGGGAUCAAACCCAAGUCUCCCACAUUACUGGCAGAUGCUUUACUGUCUAAGCCACCAGGGAAGCCCUGAUUCUUCCUUUUUUUUUUUUAAAGACAAGUCGUUAAGACUAUAAAAUUUAAAUUGUACAUAGUGAUAUAGUUGUGUGAAGAGAUGGUCAAGUCAUAAAUUCCAUAGUGUUGUUAAUAAGAGACCCCCUAAAUGAUAUUUUAUUAACAAAAAAUAAAUGAUCUUCUUCCUAAAUGUUACUGUGUUAUGUACUCCCUUUCAGCGUUUUUUCCCGUUUUUCUGGUUUUAUAAUUGGAGGCCAAGAUUGUAAUAAAGUUGAAUCAGAGGAAUCAGAUUAGUAUUAGUGGCUGUUACAUUAAUUGUUCUCUUUAUCUAGUGGCAAAACCAAAAAUCCUAUGAAAUAACAACAUUUUAAAAACAAGGUUGAAAAAGAGUUUGAAUUGUUUCCUUCAAUUGCUUGAGUUUUAAUUACUGAUGCAAUGCUAUGUUUGAUAUUACUUGGAAAUCUGAGAUAAAGAGAAAAAUUCUGUUAGAAAAAUGGUAUCUUAAAUGUUUUUUUGACAUCUGAAACAUUGCCCAUGACUUUGUCAUCCCCUUCUAUUUUUUUUUUUAACUCCUUUUUGGAUUUUAAUGAUUUUGGCACUUUUUAAGUUUAUAAAAUAUUUCUGGUGCAUGUAGCCAUUUGAGAUCUAGACCCUAAUCAGAAAUUUCAACUAGAUAGUUUUUUUUUCCCCCCUUUCGGCAAAGCAGUUUUAGAGUGCUGAUGAGUUAUACUGCAUCCAAUUUUAUUUCUGUAAUAACAGUUGCUUUGGGUAAGAUAAAUUCUUCACCUAUUUCUUUACCUGUUAUACUUUGUUUUGAUUGAUGCAGAGUUGCCAUAGUUGUACCCAUUCUUACUAAAGAGGAAAUGAGCCCUCGACCCUUGUGUAUUGACUAUUGGUAGCCUCUAGUAGCUAGCCCUUGGGCUUCUCUUGUGGCUCAGCUGGUAAAGAAUCUGCCUGCAACUCGGGAGACCUGGUUUCGAUCCCUGUGUUGGGAAGAUCCCCUGGAGAAGGGAAAGGCUACCCACUCCAGUAUUCUGGCCUGGAGAUUUCCAUGGGCUGUAUAGUCCAUGGGGUCACAAAGAGCUGGACACAACUGAGUGACUUUCACUUCACUAGCAACUAGCCCAGAGUCUCAGUCCUAAUUAACAUUGCCUACAGAUGGUUCAAAAUUGGCAAGGGAGUAUGUCAAGGCUGUAUAUUGUAUAGCUUAUAUAAUAAGCUUAUUUAACUUAUAGGCAGAGUACACCAUGUGGAAUGCUGGGAUGGAUGACUCACAAGCUGGAAUCAAGAUUGCUGGGAGAAAUCAAUAACCUCAGAUAUGCAGGUGAUACCACUCUAAUGGCAGAAAAUGAAGAGGAACUAAAGAGUCUCUUGAUGAGGGUGAAAGAGGAGAGUGGAAAAUCUGACUUAAAAUUCAGUAUUCAAAAAACUAAAGUCAUGGCAUCCAGUCCCAUCCUUUCAUGGCAAAUAGAUGGGGAAAAAAGUGGAAGCAGUGUCAGAUUUUAUUUUCUUGGGCUCCCAAAUCACUGCAAAUGUUGACUGCAGCCAUGAAAUUAAAAAACACUUACUCCUUGGAAGAAAAGCUAUGGCAAACCUAGACAGUGAAUUAAAAAGCAGAGACAUCACUUUGCCAACAAAGGUUUGUUGAGUCAAAGCUUUGGUUUUUACAGUAGUCUUUUAUGGAUAUAAGAGUUGGGCCAUAAGGAAGGCUGAGCACUGAAGAAUUGACGCUUUUGAACUGUGGUGCUGGAGAAGACUCUUGAGAAUCCCUUGAACAGUAAGGAGAUCAAACCAGUCAAUCCUAAAAGAAAUCAACCCUGAUUAUUCAUUGGAAGGACUGAUGCUGAAACUGAAGCUCCAAUACUUUGGCCACCUGAUUCGAAGAGCAGACUCAUUGGAAAAGACCCUGAUGCUGGAAAAGAUUGAAGGCAGGAGGCGCAGGGGGUGGCAGAGGAUUAGAUGGUUAGAUAACAUCUUUGAUUAAACGGACAUGAAUUUGAGCAAAUUCUGGGAGAUAGUGAAGGACAAGGGAAGCCUGGUGUGCUACAGUUCAUGCGGUUGCAAAGAGUGGGACAUGACUUAGCAACUGAACAAAAACAGCAGAUGAGGAAAGUAAAAGUUUAUGCAUCAGAGGAUCAGAGAGAAUUGUCUAAAGUCUUUAAUAAAAUUUUAACUCAUUUGUUUAUUUUAUUUUUGGCUGUGCUGGGUCUUCGAGGGGCUACUUGCAAGUUGAAGUGUGAAGAUUUCUCAUCGUGUGGGCUUCUCGUUGCGGAGCACGGACUCUAGGCUCAUGGGCGUAGUUGCAGCACAUCGGCUUAGCUACCUUGUGAUGUGGGAUCUUCCUGGAGCAGGGAGUGAACCCGUGUCCCCUGAGUUGGCAGGUGGAUUCUUAAUCACUGAACCACCAGAGAGGCUCAACUUACUCAUUUUUAAUAAAAGGGUAAUAUAUGUACCAGAUUUAAAACUUAGAGCUGCAGAAGGGUUUACUGUGAAAGCAGGCCUCAUUUCCUACCUUCCUGUCUACUAGGUCCCCUCCCCUGAGGCAACUACUGUUUGUAGCAAGUUUCUUCCUACAUUUACAGCCAUAUCUGCUCUUUUUAUUGGUUGCAUAGUAUUCAUUGUCUUGAAUAUACUGUACAUUCCCUUUUUGGUUGACAUGUAGCUUCUUUUGCUUUUAUAAAUAAUUCAGCAGAGUAUUGUAUACAUAUAUCACACCUGUGUAAAUAAGUCAGUAUUUUAAAUUUUAGAAGUAAAAUUUGUCUGCCAAAAAAAAUCUGUGCAUUAAAACUUUGAUAGGCAUUGCCAAAUUAUUCUUCAUGGUAAAUUGAUUUCUGAAGUUAGAAUAUUGGUAUUAUCAUAUGUUCUUUGCAAAAGUAUGAUCACUAGUUGUUGCUGUGCUCUUUAUAACCAGAUUUAUUUUCUUUCUUUUUAUUAAUUAUCUGAUUGUAAGCAUAGUAAAUAGCCAUCAUUACUCAACAGAAGAGUCCGAAAUGCAGUAUUUGGAUGCAGUCUCAAAAAUGACAGAAUGAUUUCUGUUCAUUUCCAAGGCAAAGCAUUCAGUGUCACAGUAAUCCAAGUCUUCCCUACCCAGUAAUGCUGAAGAAGCUGAAAUUGAACAGUUCUAUGAAGACCUAUAAGACCUUCUAGAACUAACACCCAAAAACAUGUCCUUUUCGUUUUAGGGGACUGGAAUGCAAAAGUAAAGAGUCAGGAAAUACCUGGAGUAACAGGCAAAUUUGGCGUUGGAGUACAGAAUGAAGCAGGGCAAAGGCUAAUAAACGUUUUGCCAAGAGAAUGCAUUGGUCAUAGCAAACACCCUCUUCCAACAACAUGAGAACACUCUACGCAUGGACAUCACCAGAUGGUCAAUACUGAAAUCAGAUUGAUUAUAUUCUCUGCAGCCAAAGAUAGAGAAGUUCUAUACAGUCAGCAAAAACAAGACUGGGAACUCCUUGUUCCCAAAUUCAGACUGAAAUUGAAGAAAGUAGGGAAAACUACUAGACCAUUCAGGUAUGACCUAAAUCAAAUCUCUUAAAAUUGUACAGUGGAAGUGAGAAAUAGAUUCAAGGGAUUAGAUCUGAUAGAGUGCCUGAAGAACUGUGGAUGGAGGUUCAUGACGUUUUACAGGAGGCAGGGAUCAAGACUAUCCCCAAGGAAAAGAAAUGCAAAAAGGCAGAAUGGUUGUCUGAGGAGGCCUUACAAAUAGCUGUGAAUAGAAGCGAAGCGAAAGGCAAAGGAGAAAAGGAAAGAUAUACCUAUUUAAUGCAGAGUUCCAAAGAAGAACAAGGAGAGAUAAGAAAGCCUUCCUCGGUGAUCACUGCAAAGAAAUAGAGGAAAACAAUAGAAUGGGAAAGACUAGAGAUCUCUUCAAGAAAAUUAGAGAUACCAAGGGGACAUUUCAUGUAAAGAUGGGCUUGAUAAAGGACGGAAAUGGUAUGGACCUAACAGAAGCAGAAGAUAUUAAGAAGAGGUGGCAAGAAUACACAGAAGAACUGUACAAAAAAGAUCUACGAGACCCAGGUAACCACGAUGGAGUGAUUACUCACCUAGAGCCAGACAUCCUGGUAUGCAAAGUCAAGUGGGCCUUAGGAAGCAUCACUACGAACAAAGCUAGUAGAGGUGAUGGAAUUCCAGUUGAGCUAUUUCAAAUCCUAAAAGAUGAUGCUGUGAAAGUGCUGCACUCAAUAUGCCAGCAAAUCUGGAAAACUCAGCAGUGGCCUCAGGACUGGAAAAGGUCAGUUUUCAUUCCAAUCCCAAAGAAAGGCAAUGCCAAAGAAUACUCAAACUACCGCACAAUUACACUCAUCUCACAGGCUAGUAAAGUAAUGCUCAAAAUUCUCCAAGCCAGACUUCAACAGUAUGUGAACUGUGAACUUCACAUGUUCAAGCUGGAUUUAGAAAAGGCAGAGGAACCAGAGAUCAAAUUGCCAACAUCCAUUGGAUCAUCGAAAAAGCAAAAGAGUUCCAGGAAAAUACCUACUUGUGCUUUAUUGACUGUGCCAAAGACUUUGACUGUGUGGAUCACAACAAACUGUGGAAAAUUCUUCAACAGAUGGGAAUAUCGGACCAACUGACCUGCUUCUUGAGAAAUCUGUAUGCAGGUCAGGAAGCAACAGUUAGAACUGGACAUGGAACAACCAGCUGGUUCCAAAUAGGGAAAGGAGUAUGUCAAGGCUGUAUGUUGUCACCCUGCUUAUUUAACUUAUAUGCAGAGUACAUCAUGAGAAACGCAGGGCUGGAUGAAGCACAAGCUGGAAUCAAGAUUGCCGGGAGAAAUAUCAAUAACCACAGAUAUGCAGAUGACUCCACCCUUUUGGCUGAAAGCAAAGAAGAACUAAAGAGCCUCUUGAUGAAAGCAUAAGAGGAAAGUGAAAAAGUUGGCUUAAAGCUCAGCAUUCAGAAAACGAAGAUCAUGGCAUUUGGUCCCAUCACUUCAUGGGAAAUAGAUGGGGAAACAGUGGAAACAGUGACAGACUUUAUUUUUGGGAGGCUCUAAAAUCACUGCAGAUGGUGUCUGCAGCCAUGAAAUUAAAGGAUGCCUGCUCCUUGGAAGAAAAGUUUUGACCAACCUAGACAGCAUAUUAAAAAAGUAGAGACAUUACUUUGGCAACAAAGGUUUGUCUAGUCAAGGCUAUGGUUUUUCAAGUAGUCAUGUAUGGAUGUGAGAGUUGGACUAUAAAGAAAGCUGAGCGCGGAAGAAUUGAACUGUGCUUUUGAACUGUGGUGUUGGAGAAGACUCUUGAGAGUCCCUUGGUCUGCAAGGAGAUUCAACCAGUCCAUCGUAAAGGAAAUCAGUCCUGAAUAUUCAUUGGAAGGACUGAUGCUGAAGCUGAGCCUCCAAAACUUUGGCCACCUGAUGCGAAGAGUGACUCAUUGGAAAAGACCCUGAUGCUGGGAAAGAUUGAGGGCGGGAGGAGAAGGGGAUGAUAGGAUGAGAUGGUUGGAUGGCAUCACCGACUCAAUGGACAUGAGUUUGAGUAAACUCUGGGAGUUGGCGAUGGACAGGGAGGCCUGGCCUGCUGCCGUCCAUGGGGUCGCAAAGAGUCUGACACGUCUGAGCAGCUAACUGAAGCAUAGUAUUCUUAUGUUUCACAAACUGCUAGCUUUCACUUGUUACCUUUGUGAAAAGUGUAUUGGUGUAAAUUAUUAGCAAUCACUGACUUUUAUAUAGGUAGUGUCUAUCUUAUAAAUGAAUUGUUUAAAAAAGAGUGGGUUAGAGGCUGGGGGUGGACGAAAUGGGGAGUUAAAAAAAUAGGGAAUUUGGGAUGAGGAGCCUCCACAUCACCCCCCCACACCCUCCCGUAAGUCAUUAAAAUGGGUGUUUAGCUUAUUAGGUCUGGCAAUAAAAAUUGUUUGUAACCUGUUAUAUCAGAAUAUACUGCAAUCACCCUUUAUAACACUGGAGAUUCAUUCAUCCUGUUGCUAUCCUCUCUUAGGGAACUAAGUCUACCCAAAAUCUAGGCCUUUGUGAGUUCCAUGACCUGGGACAGGAGAGUAGGAAUUAGAUAGGGUGAUGCUUGGGGAGGAAUGAAUGAGUUCGGGUUUAGAAAAAAGAGAAAUAGCAAUAGAAUGAGCUUAAGGUGCCGAAGAAUUGAUGCGUUUGAACUGUGGUGUUGGAGAAGACUCUUGAGAGUCCCUUGGACUGCAAGGAGAUCCAACCAGUCCAUUCUGAAGGAGAUCAGCCCUGGGAUUUCUUUGGAAGGAAUGAUGCUAAAGCUGAAACUCCAGUACUUUGGCCACCUCAUGUGAAGAGUUGACUCAUUGGAAAAGACUCUGAUGCUGGGAGGGAUUGGGAGCAGGAGGAGAAGGGGCCGACAGAGGAUGAGAUGGCUGGAUGGCAUCACUGACUCGAGGGACGUGAGUCUGAGUGAACUCCAGGAGUUGGUGAUGGACAGGAAGGCCUGGCGUGCUGCAAUUCAUGGGGUCUCAAAGAGUCAGACGCAACUGAACUGAACUGAAGGUGCUUUUAUUCCUUCCAUAUGUUUCUACUCUGCAGUACUGGGACAGGGUAAGAGAGGGAGCCAGGAAAUUGGAUUUUCUUUCCCUUCCUUUCAAGUACUUUCCUCUUUUACUAGUCCCUUUCACAGGAUCUUGAUACCUGGGUUUCAGGUGCUUUGAGAUGAAUUACGACUUGAAGGAGAUCACCAAGAGGGCUGAGUAUGACAAUAUCUGUAAUUAUUAGGGAAACUAGGGAUAUAAAAUGGAAAAGAAGAUUUCCAGUGGUAAGACAGAGAACCAUCUUUCUGUCAAGUUUUUAUAGUUUGUUCUCUUUUUGAGGGGGG
ensembl:lncRNA